rnacentral:lncRNA from 1 species
GAGAGGGUCUCUCGGCCCCCCCAGGACCUGACGUCGGCGCUGACCCGUAAGAUCACGCUGAAGACCCCGCUCAUCUCGUCCCCCAUGGACACCGUCACCGAGUCCGAUAUGGCCAUCGCCAUGGCGGUGAGCUUUUUUUUUGGGGGGGGGGCACCCCGGGAUUUUGGGGGGCUGGGGGGGUGGGUGUGGGGUCAGGGUGUACGUCACGGUAUGGGUUGGGGUGUGGGGUUGGGGGGCUCGCGCCUGUGUGGGGUUGGGGUGCUCACCCCUGUGUUAUUUUGGGGGAUACGGAUUUGGGGUAACCAACACAUCUGGUUUGGGGUGCGCAUUUGGGGUGCUCACCCUGUGCAGGUUUGGGGUGUGGGGUCAGGGUGCCCAUCAUGGUAUGGUUUGGGGGUGUGGGGUUGGGGUGCUCGCACCUGUGUGGGGUCGGGGUGCUCGCCCCUGUGUUAUUUUGGGGGAUACAGAUUUGGGGUUACAGCCCAUCUGGUUUGGGGUGCACAUUUGGGGUGCCCACCCCUAUGUGGGUUUGGGGUAUAGGGUAAGGUCCCCAUCACAUUAUGGUUUGGGCGUGUGGGGUUGGGGUGCUUGCACCUGUGUGGGGUUGGGGUACCCACCCCUGUGUUAUUUUCGGGGAUACAGAUUUGGGGUAACCAACACAUCUGGUUUGGGGUGCGCAUUUGGGGUGCCCACCCCUGUGCAGGAUUGGGGUGUGGGGUCGGGGUGCCCAUCACUUUAUGGUUUU